CAGCAGCCGCGGUAAUACCGGCGGCCCGAGUGGCGGUCACUAUUAUUGGGCUUAAAGCGUCCGUAGCCGGGUUGGGAAGUCCUCCGGGGAAUCUGGCCGCUUAACGGUCAGAAUGCCGGAGGAUACUCCCAGCCUAGGGAGCGGGAGAGGCCGAGGGUAUUCCCGGAGUAGGGGUGAAAUCCUAUAAUCCCGGGAGGACCACCUGUGGCGAAGGCGCUCGGCUGGAACGCGUCCGACGGUGAGGGACGAAGGCCAGGGGAGCAAACCGGAUUAGAUACCCGGGUAGUCCUGGCUGUAAACGAUGCGGACUUUGUGUCGGACAAGCUAUGAGCUUGUCCGGUGCCGGAGGGAAACCGUUAAGUCCGCCGCCUGGGGAGUACGGCCGCAAGGCUGAAACUUAAAGGAAUUGGCGGG
rnacentral:rRNA from 1 species